AUGAAUCAAAAUAUCAAUCAACAACAAUCUCCUGCAAUGGGUGAGAAGAACGAACAAGUUGCUCCACCACCACCUAUGGGUUAUCCCACCAAAGAUGAUCCCCAACAAACUGUUCCAGUCAAAACAACUAGUAGAGGUGAUGGUUUCUGGAAAGGAUGUUGUGCUGGAUUAUGUUGUUGUUGUGCCCUGGAUUGUUGCCUCUGA